rnacentral:tRNA from 1 species
GGAAGUGUGGCCGAGCGGUUGAAGGCACCGGUCUUGAAAACCGGCGACCCGAAAGGGUACCAGAGUUCGAAUCUCUGCGCUUCCGCCA